rnacentral:rRNA from 1 species
GCGACCCCAGUCAGGCUGAGACCUGGUU